GAAUAUUGGACAAUGGGGGGAACCCUGAUCCAGCCAUGCCGCGUGUGUGAAGAAGGCCUUUUGGUUGUAAAGCACUUUAAGCGAGGAGGAUGCCACCAUAGCUAAUACCUAGAGGUAGUGGACGUUACUCGCAGCAUAACCCCCGGCUAACUCUGUUCCCGCCGCCGGGGUAAUACAGAGGGUGCAAGCGUUAAUCGGAUUUACUGGGCGUAAAGCGCGCGUAGGUGGCCAAGUAAGUCAAAUGUGAAAUCCCCGAGCUUAACUUGGGAAUUGCAUUCGAUACUGGUUGGCUAGAGUAUGGGAGAGGAUGGUAGAAUUCCAGGUGUAGCGGUGAAAUGCGUAGAGAUCUGGAGGAAUACCGAUGGCGAAGGCAACCAUCUGGCCUUAUACUGACACUGAGGUGCGAAAGCAUGGGGAGCAAAC
rnacentral:rRNA from 1 species